rnacentral:rRNA from 1 species
GAGGAAAGAGGGAGGCGUGCCUAAUACAUGCAAGUCGAGCGAACAGACGAGGAGCUUGCUCCUCUGACGUUAGCGGCGGACGGGUGAGUAACACGUGGAUAACCUACCUAUAAGACUGGGAUAACUUCGGGAAACCGGAGCUAAUACCGGGUAAUAUAUUGAACCGCAUGGUUCAAUAGUGAAAGACGGUUUUGCUGUCCCUUAUAGAUGGAUCCGCGCCGCAUUAGCUAGUUGGUAAGGUAACGGCUUACCAAGGCAACGAUGCGUAGCCGACCUGAGAGGGUGAUCGGCCACACUGGAACUGAGACACGGUCCAGACUCCUACGGGAGGCAGCAGUAGGGAAUCUUCCGCAAUGGGCGAAAGCCUGACGGAGCAACGCCGCGUGAGUGAUGAAGGUCUUCGGAUCGUAAAACUCUGUUAUUAGGGAAGAACAAAUGUGUAAGUAACUAUGCACGUCUUGACGGUACCUAAUCAGAAAGCCACGGCUAACUACGUG